UACGGAGGGUGCGAGCAUUAAUCGGAUUUUAUUGGGCGUAUAGGGCGCGUAGGCGGUGAGGGAAGUCAGAUGUGAAAUCCCGGGGCUCAACCUCGGAACGGCAUAUGAAACUCCCUUUCUAGAGGAUAGACGGAGAAAGCGGAAUUCCACAAGUAGCGGUGAAAUGCGUAGAUAUGUGGAAGAACACCAGUGGCGAAGGCAGGUCUCUGGGCCAUAACUGACGCUGAGAAGCGGAAAGCAUGGGGAGCGAACAGG
rnacentral:rRNA from 1 species